ensembl:lncRNA
AGUGGUGGAGAGAGGAGCUUCAUUGGUGAGAGCCAAGUGCUAAAAGCAGCUGCCUGUGACAUUUCCGUCAGCAGGCCUCCCUCCUUCAUUGUGUUAUGAGACACACAUCAGAUGUUCUGGUUUAUGAUUUCAGCUUCAGAGAACACAACCCUCUGAGAUCUAAGCUCAUGUAUCUCUCCCUGGCAUGCUGCCUGUUCAUUAACUGAACACUAAGGUCCAUUUGAGACUGACAACUAAAUGCUGAGACUAUUGGAACCCCUUUUUCCUACCUUCAAGGAGGUCUAGGAUCCUAUGGAGUAGUUAAGUGUUAGGCCCAGAUGCCUAGUUGCUGUACUUGCUAGAAAGUGACAAAGCACAGACUACCAAAAAGAUUCUGUCCAGAUGCCAGAACCAUGUCAGAUACAAAGUCACAUACAGCUGCUGUCUUCUCCAGUUUGGAUAAGCCAGAGGACCAUGUAUUCUCUCUCCUUUCGAAGACAGAGUAGGCACUAAACUCAUGGAGGUCUCAGUGAUGGGACCAGAUGCCAUGGAUGGAAUUCCAGUUGAGCUAUUUCAAAUCCUGAAGGAUGAUGCUGUGAAAGUGCUGCACUCAAUAUGCCAGCAAAUUUGGAAAACUCAACAGUGGCCACAGGACUGGAAAAGAUCCUGGUUCCUGGUGAUGUGGUUAUGGCAAGCAUCCCUGAGACAAAACAAUGACGGAGUGGUGGAAAAACAAAACAAAACAGCUGCAGUAGAAUGGCAUACUCUGAGCUUGGAAAGAGUGUACUUCUGGUUUGGGGACACUUAGUAGACCAGCUAUCCUGCAGAAAUGAUGGAAUAACUGAGGGAAUGGAAGUGAAGUAUGCAGCUGAAUUCCAGAAAAAACACGGUAAUUUUAUUCUUCUCCUUUUCCAGAUAAAAAAAUUGAGUAGCUUUCUCAGUCUGAAUAGUAACUAGUUGUUUUGAACCUUCAAAAUUUGCGUUUUCUCAUUCUAUUACUAAUUUGUGAAGUUAUAACUCUUACCUUGAAAUCUUCAGAGGUUUUGCUCACUUAUUAACAAGCUUGCAAACAGUCCAUCAACAUUUAAGAUAGAAAAGUCUACCUGGAAAAUUUUGUGAUAGUCAAAAGCCACUAGAGAGCACCAUACCUUCCUUCUCUGAUUUUGCAAGACCCUGUGAUGAAAUGCUUUUAUCUUAAAAAUUCCUUGGUACAAUAACUUUGAGCCUAGAUAUCUGGUUCUUCUGAUCAUGCCAUUUAUUAGAUGGGUGGCCUCGGAAAAGUCUUUUAGCUUCCCUGGACCUUAAUUUCCUUUUCUGUAAAAUUAGGGAGUUAUGCUAAAUGAUCUUAAACCUCCUCUCAGCUCUAAAUUUCUGAUCUUACUAGUUUACCUCUUCAAUGUCUCGUGGAUUAAUCAGGAAGAAAACCUGGCAGAACAGCAAGAAUUUUACCUGUAUCAUUUCAUCACUUUUGCCAGCUCACCCACCUCAGUUUUCACUUUUUCAGCUAAGAAUCUUGGAAUUGCUUUUUUUUUAAAUUGGAGGAUAAUUGCUUUACACUGUUGUGUUAGUUUCUGCUGUUCAACAAUGUGAGUCAGCUGUAAGUAUACAUAUCUCUCUCUCCCUCUAGAACCUCCCUCCCUCUCCCCCCAUCCUGCGCCUCUAGGUCAUCACAG